UACAGAGGGGGCAAGCGUUAUUCGGAAUCACUGGGCUUAAAGCGCGUGUAGGCGGGUGGGAACGUCGGCCACUGAAAGCCCCCGGCUCAACCGGGGAAGGGGUGCCGAAACGGCCCGCCUGGAGGGGCGUAGGGGGACCUGGAACUUCCGGUGGAGCGGUGAAAUGCGUUGAGAUCGGAAGGAACGCCCGUGGCGAAAGCGAGGUCCUGGACGUCAUCUGACGCUGAGACGCGAAAGCUAGGGGAGCGAACGGG
rnacentral:rRNA from 1 species